GACGAACGCUGGCGGCGUGCCUAAUACAUGCCAGUAGAACGCUGAAGAGAGGAGCUUGCUCUUCUUGGAUGAGUUGCGAACGGGUGAGUAACGCGUAGGUAACCUGCCUUGUAGCGGGGGAUAACUAUUGGAAACGAUAGCUAAUACCGCAUAACAAUGGAUGACACAUGUCAUUUAUUUGAAAGGGGCAAUUGCUCCACUACAAGAUGGACCUGCGUUGUAUUAGCUAGUAGGUGAGGUAACGGCUCACCUAGGCGACGAUACAUAGCCGACCUGAGAGGGUGAUCGGCCACACUGGGACUGAGACACGGCCCAGAAUCCUACGGGAGGCAGCAGUAGGGAAUCUUCGGCAAUGGGGGCAACCCUGACCGAGCAACGCCGCGUGAGUGAAGAAGGUUUUCGGAUCGUAAAGCUCUGUUGUAAGUCAAGAACGAGUGUGAGAGUGGAAAGUUCACACUGUGACGGUAGCUUACCAGAAAGGGACGGCUAACUACGUG
rnacentral:rRNA from 1 species